AGCUGUUGCAGGAAAGCAGACGCGAGAUGAUAUUUCAGAUAGUUUUAAGUACAGUUAUUACAAGUGUUUUUUGUAAUAACUGUACUUACCUCACCAAACAAGCUGAGAGCUCAAAUUACUAAAGGGAUGUCAGGCCAGGCCUCCCCUCCGACCAUGUUUUGACCAGCUCAUGGCCACAUGUCUGCUGCUGCUACCCCUUUCGACAGUGGGCUAGCAGGCUAAGACCCAACGUAUCCUCUGCUCUCUUCCUUGGAUGGCCAAAGUGGACCGAUCUCACACGAGGGUGCAACUCAUUUCCUCCCUCUCUCCUCACAGGUGACCUUUGAUGAGCAGGGAGACGCGCAGCGGCAGGUGUUCAGCAUUAAGCGGCACUCGGUGGGAGUAUUUAAGCGGAUAGAUGUCAGCAACAACACCGCCAGAGUGUUAACCUAGUGUGGUCACCUCAAGCUUCGGAUCCCGUUCUGCAGCGCCUUUGUGCUCAAGCCCCUAACGACCUAUCCCACCGAUCUCUCCCCACUGAUCUCCAGCUGGCAGCCGGCCCAGGACCCCUCUGAGCGUUCGGCAGCCUUCGGCCUUCCUGCCUCAAAGCCACCUGUGUUACCAGCGCCUGUAAAACCCGUAAGCCGCCAUCCCUCUGGCAGACUCUCCGUGUCAUUCGAACCUGACGCCCCUUCGCCUCCUGAGUAACCUGACAUCCCAUUGUCUCCUGUCGUUCCCUGAGCCCUGAGCUUCCAGCGUCCCGCUGUCCUUGGCGUUGUUCCUCUUGAGCUUUAAAAUAAA